rnacentral:rRNA from 1 species
UACGUAGGGCGCAAGCGUUGUCCGGAAUUAUUGGGCGUAAAGCGCACGUAGGUGGUCUGUUAAGUCGGAUGUGAAAGCCCCAGGCUCAACUUGGGAAGUGCAUUCGAAACUGGCAGGCUUGAGUAUGGAAGAGGGUCGCGGAAUUCCCGGUGUAGAGGUGAAAUUCGUAGAUAUCGGGAGGAACACCAGUGGCGAAGGCGGCGACCUGGGCCAAUACUGACACUGAGGUGCGAAAGCGUGGGGAGCAAACAGG